rnacentral:sRNA from 1 species
GUUUGCGGGGAGUUUGUUAAAAGAAACUGGCAUGGUGAAUCCCCCUGUGCGGAGGGGCAAUCAGCGAGUAGGUAUAUGGGAUAAUCGCGGAUUCAGGUGCUGGUACUGAAUUCACCGGGAGGCACCCGGCACCAUGCACUUCAAUAGAUUCUCUCCACAUUAUGGAUAUUCUUUCAGAA